AAUUUGAACUAAUGUUAUAUCUGGAGGUCACGGUGCAGGUGGCAUUAUUAACCCACUUUCCAGAUGAGGAAAUGGCCACUCUCCAGGGCUGCCAUCAACCCCAGUGCUCCUAGAUCACUGCAUCUGCCUGCAGGUCCUGCAGUGGGAGCUUGCAGGAGCGGGAGAGAGAAGACGUGGGAAUGACCCGAGAGGCAGGAGACUGAGUUCCUGCCUUCAAUGGGCUCACUGCUUGGGGGAGCAAAGGAUGCUAUAUGACGUGAGGAAGCCCCCUGGAACAGUGCUCUUCCCCCGCCCCCACCCCAGGCCAGUUUCUGAAGUCAGUAGGUCUGGGCUGGGGAGGCGGGGUGGAGAAUUUGCAUUUCUAGAUGUUCUUCUUGCUGAUGCCUAUUUUGCUGGUGUGGAGGCCACUGGGGGAGGAGCAAUGACAUAGGGGGCUUCCUUGCUGGCGUCACUCCCACACGCAGGCUUGUUCCCUUCCAGAUGCUGAACACCUCAGGGUGCCAUGAAACGGUCUCUUGGUUAUGUUCUCACGUUGUUUGGAAAUCAUGCUCUCACUUCACAGAGCGUCGUUUGCUCCCCAAAGACACAGGCACUUCACCUUGAGCAAGUUAUUUGCUGGGAAGGGACAUAGGACCAAUCUGUCUCAGGAUGGAGGCAGAACACUCCAAAUGCCCCUUCAUCUCUUCCCUGUGGCGGGGUGGUCAAUGGCCCUUCUGAAACCUGAACCCAGAAGACGUGUGCCUUCUUUCCCAUCUCUGUGACCUCCUGGGAGCCUUCCCCAUCAGCCUUGCUGAGGGAUCCGGAGGGACCCUCUCUGUCUCCCUCCCCAAGCUGUGCAGAGCUGGACGUGAUCUGCAGUGAGUUCCCUUACCCGGGCUAUUGUCUACAACACAGCCACUCUGCCCUCAUUCCUGGUGGGCCGACAAAGCAGCAGAAGAGAGACAGUUAGAAUUCUGGUCAUAAAGGCCUGGCAUCUGACUGCUUAAGCAGAGGGCAUGCUUUCUAAUAUUGCCAAGCAGAGAGAUGCUCACCCGCUUCUCCAGCGUGAAUGCAAUGAAACAACUCAAACACCUAAUAGGAGAGUUGAAAGUGAGGCAUCAGUCAAUAGAAGAAUGCUGUGGCAUCCCCUUUUAGAUUAAGAAGCAACCAGGUUGGCAUUCCCAUCCUGGUGCAGAGGAAAUGAAUCUGACUAGGAACCACCAGGUUGUGGGUUCGAUCCCUAGCCUUGCUCAGUGGGUUAAGGAUCCGGUGUUGCCGUGAGCUGUGGUGUAGGUUGCAGAGGAGGCUCUGAUCCUGCGUUGCCACGCCUGUGGUGUAGACCAGAGGCUGCAGCUCUGAUUCCACCCCUAGCCUGGGAACCUCUAUAUGCUGAAAGUGUGGCCCCGAAAAAAGCAAAAGAAAAGAAAAGCUGACUGUUAUGUGAGAAUGGGAGCCACCAAAGGUUUCUGAGCAGAAUGACAGGCAAAGGGAGUGCUAUUGGAAAACUUAUGUGGGUGGGACUAUAAGUGGGCGGCAGAGAAAGACAAGUAGAAUAUUUCCAUGGAAGGUCUAGGGGCAGGCAAUAUGGUAUACAGAUCACGUUUGGGAUCAGAAGGAACGGGGCUCAAAUCUGUGCUGAGCCACCCCAAGGUUCUCUAUCUGCAAAACGGGAUCCCAAGCGUGCCUAUCUCACCGGACCAUAAUGGUGAAAUGGAAUCACAGAGAAAAGAGCCUGGCAAACAUAGAAACCAGCCCCCUGUUAUCGCUCAGCAUCAUCACUGCUCUUGAGAGUUAGAACACAAGGUCUUAAACAGAUGGCGGCAACUGGAAUGCAAAGGUGGAUGCAUGUGAGAGGACAUGGAAGAAUGAACAAGACUUCUUUCUUCGGGCUGAACAGGGACCAGGAGCUCAGAGGUGGCGGUGGAAAUGCUAGACUUUGGAGGGAGAGCAUGAAGAAAAGAGCAGGGCACACCCCUGGGCCUUUGCCAUGUGUACAGGCGACAAGAAAGGCAGCUUCAAAGGAGCAGAGAAGGGGUGGGGUGACACGAUCACAAAAGCUAGGGGAAGAGAGGCAGAAGGGCAAGUUAGUGCUGUAUAAAUAUGUUUAGUUAGCUAUAAAUAUCAUUAAAAUGUAUUAUACCCCCCCCCAAACACACUGGAAGAAUAUAUUCCACAAUGUAGCUAUUGCUAGGCGGUGAGAAUUUUAGGGGAUUUUCAGUGUUUUUAAUGCACUCCUGCAGUAAGGUUUGAUUUAUUUAUUUUUUGCUCUUAACAGCUAAUACGUGAACAGCACAUACACUUGCCCAGCAUUGUUCUGAGAGCUUUAUAGAUAUUAACUUACUUCAUCCUCAAAACAACGCUGUGAGGUUACUACUGUUUUCCCCAGGUUGGGAUUAAAGGAACCGAGGGAGGCAGACGCGCGGAGCACAUGCAGCCAAGGUCAGAGCGAAGGUGAGUGGAGGAGCCAGCGUUGCAAUGCUGAUCCGGCAGCCUGGCUCCAGGGUCUGUGCGCUCAACCACAUGUGAUACUUUUAUGACUAAAAAAAAAAUCCCAGUAAUUGCUAUUCACAAAACCAGGAGGUGGGGCAGUUAUUCGUCACUUUACAGGGGGUAAAGGAAGGAGAGAGCAAACAAAGCUUGUGGGACUCAGUGACGGGGAGUUCCCGGGGGGCCCUGAGCGAGGGGUUUCCACUGGGAAGGGAAGGAAGGUGGGAGUGUAAGGGACCAAGAGAGAACUACUAAUUCAGGAACGUGGGUGGUGAGUGCAGGGGACUAUUUCGAGACAUGUGGCCGUGUGGUGAAGACAAGGAGCUGGAUGGGAACUUUUAGGGGCAGGAGGAUUGUUUGAAGAGACGGUUGGCAGCCCAUAUACUCAAACUGGAACGAUACAGAGAAGAUUAGCAUGGCCCCCUGUGCAGGCAUGACAUGCAAAUUCAUGAUGCGUUCCAUACUUUUA
rnacentral:lncRNA from 1 species